GCAACUGGCUCCAUCUAUGUACACGCAUACUCUGAGACCUCUACAGCCUGUUGGGUUCUACUCAUUGUUAUUAUCUGUCUGAUUGUUGCUGUGGCUGCACUCAUAUGGUACCGGUGCAAAUACAGACAGUUUCCUAGGAGUUCAUUCAUGGCCAAGGCACCAGAACACAUAUGCUACUGUAUCAGUAUCUUCCAAGACGAGGAGACAUGACAAGGUUGAGGAAGGUGAAGAUGACUCAUUGACUG